UCAUGUAUCAUAGAAAAAUCCCAAUCAGAAAUGUUGAUCUAUUCACAAGCAUUUUGAUCAGAGAGUCACAGGUAGAGAUCAAAACCCAUAAAACUCAGAUCUGAGGCAAAUCCUUAUUAUCAGACAUCAAUACACCCAAUUCCUCUCUCUCUCUCUCUCUCUCUCUCUAACUGUUGCAAAGUUGUGAGAGGGGGAGAGGAUCGAGAAUGGCUCGGAUCUUCGAGUACUUCGUUGUGUGCGGACUGGGUCCGGAGAUUCGAACGUUAGAUGGGAACAGAGGGUUUCAUGGAACACUGGUUAUGUACUUGCCUUCUCUCCUUGAUCAGUACCCUCCUUCUAAUCAUACUCUCUACCCUCCUCCACCUCCCCAGCUUCCCACUCUAGAUGAUGUUCGUAGCUGCAUCGCCACGCUUCAGCAGCUGCUACCAACCGUCAUGAGCCAAUCCGCAUAACACCUCAACACAUUAUCGUUUGAAGUCGUCUGCCAAACCGCUUUGUUCCAGCUUUUUUUGUGUCUCUCAGUCGUCCUCGACUCCCCCGUCUCGUCCUUCCCAUCGAGAUCGUUUGCUUCAGCUUUCAACUUCUACAGGCAAGAAUGGAUAUUAAUAAUUAUCUCUAAAUUAUAAAAGUUUGCUCUCUUUUUUAUUUUUUUUAAAAGAUUUAUAUGGCUCCAAGUUUAAGUGAUCAUCUCUAUAUAUUUAUGAAAUGUAUAAAAAUAUGAAACCAUUUUGGUUAAAAUAAAAAAAAAA